UACGAAGGGGGCUAGCGUUGCUCGGAAUUACUGGGCGUAAAGCGCACGUAGGCGGCUUCUUAAGUCGGUGGUGAAAUCUCCGAGCUCAACUCGGAAACUGCAUUGAAUACUAUCCUGCUAGAGGGUUGGAGGGGAGACUGGAAUUCUCGGUGUAGCAGUGAAAUGCGUAGAUAUCGAGAGGAACACCAGUGGCGAAGGCGAGUCUCUGGACAACUCCUGACACUGAGGCACGAAAGCUAGGGGAGCAAACAGG
rnacentral:rRNA from 1 species